AUUGAACGCUGGCGGCAGGCUUAACACAUGCAAGUCGAGCGAGCGGCGGACGUGUGAGUAAUGUCUGGGAAACUGCCUGAUGGAGGGGGAUAACUACUGGACACGGUAGCUAAUACCGCAUACCAUCGGAUGUGCCCAGUUGGGAUUAGCUAGUUGGUGGGGUAACGGAUCACCUAGGCGACGAUCCCUAGCUGGUCUGAGAGGAUGACCAGCCACACUGGAACUGAGACACGGUCCAGACUCCUACGGGAGGCAGCAGUGGGGAAUAUUGCACAAUGGGCGCAAGCCUGAUGCAGCCAUGCCGCGUGUAUGAAGAAGGCCUUCGGGUUGUAAAGUACUUUCGGUAGCGAGGCGUUAACUACAGAAGAAGCACCGGCUAACUCCGUGCCAGCAGCCGCGGUAAUAC
rnacentral:rRNA from 1 species